rnacentral:lncRNA from 1 species
AUGAUGCUGCCGGGGCCACUGCUGUGCAGAAGUCCAACUGUGCUCAAGGCUGCCGGGAGGGGUCUCCUGCCAGGCCACUGCCCACAGAGUGGCUCAGAGGUGGCCCCUCCACAGGAGCCAUGUGUAGAGAGAGGUUCUGUUUCGGCCCGGGAAGAACCAAAAACCAUGGAUUCCACCUAUGGAAGGUUCACAUUCUCACUGGGGAGGAGUGAGGAAGCACUGCUGGCCCAAUAUAGGACUUUUAAUGUCAAACAAGAAAAACCUUAUUGAAUAUCAAUAGCCAAAGGACAUUAUACUAUAUUGUGGCCACAAAGGAGACCAAAUAAGAAUUUAUGGGUGACUGAGGACAAAUCUAUUACAACUCACUCCAGAUGAUUCAGCACUGUGUCCUUACAGAGAGAAGGUAAUGUCUUCAAAUUGUUAGCAAUUUUAAAAGAUUAUUAAUACUCAUACGCUCAAUGCAGCCUAAUGCCAGAGGGGAAAAAUGAGCUUUUUUUAACUCCUCCUCUUUCAGUAAAACAAUGGAUGGCAUAACAUAC